rnacentral:rRNA from 1 species
CCUACGGGAGGCAGUAGUGAGGAAUAUUGGUCAAUGGCCGCAGGGCUGAACCAGCCAAGUCGCGUGAGGGAUGACGGUCCUAUGGAUUGUAAACCUCUUUUGUCAGGGAGCAAAGGGCGCCACGUGUGGCGCUUUGCGAGUACCUGAAGAAAAAGCAUCGGCUAACUCCGUGCCAGCAGCCGCGGUAAUACGGAGGAUGCGAGCGUUAUCCGGAUUUAUUGGGUUUAAAGGGUGCGCAGGCGGAAUGUCAAGUCAGCGGUAAAAUUUCGGGGCUCAACCCCGUCGUGCCGUUGAAACUGGCGUUCUUGAGUGAGCGAGAAGUAUGCGGAAGGCGUGGUGUAGCGGUGAAAUGCAUAGAUAUCACGCAGAACUCCGAUUGCGAAGGCAGCAUACCGGCGCUCAACUGACGCUCAUGCACGAAAGCGUGGGUAUCGAACAGGAUUAGAUACCCCAGUAGUC